AGCUAAAAUUCCUUCCUCCCAACUGGGUUUUUACUUUUUUUCUUUAGGAGGCCGACCAGAAUCAAAAAGAUGAUGAUGAAAAGGAAUAGAAUAAGAAGGAGAAGGCAGUGGCGACAAUUGAAGUUGGGUUUUUACCCAUUGUGAAAUCGCAAAGCUGACUUUUGGAUCAUGCUCGAAUCCUAAAAUCUCAAGCCACAGCUGACACCUAGCUUUUAACGGUUACCACACCUAGCUUUUAACGGUUACCACUAUCCGCCCCCAUCUUGAUGCUCUGGUUGAACAAGACACCACUCCGGUACUGGAUAACGUGUCCUUAAGUCAUGAAAAGCCCACGCAGAAGGCCUGCAUCAGUGAAGAGUUACCUAACUGCCGAAAAUCAUAGGUAUUCAACUGAGUUAUUAUCAAAGCCAUUGCAAUUCAAAUGUUGACUACCAAUAGGUGGUAUUAUUUAGGAUGCAAGAAGUGCCCUACAGAAACCAGAGUAGUCCAAAUCCUAUAUUUUUGACAGUAGAAGCUACAUCAGUUUGAGGCCUUUAUGGUGGUGACAUGAGAGGUCAGGUGCUAUUCACUAUUGUAAGUGAUGCAAUUUUUUUUUCCUUAUCCAUUUUUUUGUAGUUAGUACAUUGUGUGUCUCUUCCUGCAGAGACCAUUUUUCUUAGAAUCCUUGGAAAUUCAUGUUGAUGAAAUCGGACCAUCUUUCUUUUGCGAUAAUCUCCGAGUUGUCUUUUUAAUGUUAAUCUAGCAUUUUUAUGUACAUGGCAGAUUCAAGAAUCCUGGGACAUUAAGUGUAAACAAAUAAUUAGUUUAACCUCCUCAUGUUUCUGUAAUCUAUUGUGAAGCAACGGUUGUUGGGUUGGCUGAUGGUAACGAUGAGUACUACAUGGCUUGCAAAACUUACAUUAGGCGGGUAGAGUAUGUAUAUGACCAGGGUUCCUGCAGCAAGUGUGUAAAUGAGUACCGAGGAGAUGUGCAUACUUUUACUGUUAAUCUAGCGUUCUUAUUUGAUGUGUUAAGUAAUUGUCAAUCGGUCACACUACUUCACCUGAAAUAAAGGAUGAGAUUGAGAUCUCAUGUGAACACAUUUUAUGAUGAUUAGUUCAGAGAAGAUAAAACUUUUUUAGUAGCAUCACAUAAUAAACAAGGUUGAGGAUCCUUUACCAAGGUUCCAUAUGAGUUCGGUUUUUGUUUCAGAUAAAUCUUCCCCUUUCCCUUUUAUAUAUAUGCAAGUACCUUCUCCGUUUUGACUGCCCUAGACAGUGAAGUGUAAUGUAUUGUGCGCGCCACUGCUUCUGAGAUGGUGAUGCUGGGACAGAGGUACACAUUACGGUUUGCAUUAUUUUCAAAACCCGUCAUAUACAUUUACAAAGCGGGAAGACGUCGGCGGUGGCUAUAUAUUGUCAUCUCUUGAUUGAAAUGCCAUCUCUUUGAUAAAAUAUAGUUACUGGGCAACUUGAUAUUUUUCAUUUGUUGAUCGGCUCAAAGCCAGCAUA